GAGGGCCGGCGUGGGGCCGUGGUUGAGCUGCGCCCCGUUGCUCCCAGCGCCUGAUGCGGAUCUUCGUGAACGACGACCGCCACGUGAUGGCGAAGCACAGCGCCGUGUACCCGACGCAGGAGGAGCUGGAGGCGGUGCAGAACAUGGUGUCCCACACCGAGCGCGCGCUCAAGGCCGUCUCCGAUUGGAUCGACGAGCAGGAGAAGGUCGGCGGCGGGGAGCAGCCCGAGGCCGAGGCCAUGGAGACGGCGGCGGAGGAGGAGAACAAGGAGGGGGGGUAAGGACGUGGCUUCACCACGAAGAUGUGAUGUGCGGCGUUGGGUUCCCCAAGAUGUUCAGCGUGGGGUUCCCUGAGUUGUUCAGUGUUGGGUUCCCUGUGAUGUUCAGCCCUGGUUUCCCUAUGAUGUUCAGUGUUGGGUUCCCCAGGUUGUUCAGUGUUGGGUUCCCUGGGGUCCCUGUAAUGUUCAGUGCUCGGUUCCCCGUGAUGUUCAGCAUUGGGUUCCCCGUAAUGUUCAGCAUUGGUUUCUCUGAGUUGUUCAGCAUUGGGUUCCCCAAGAUGUUCAGCGUUGGGUUCCCUGAGUUGUUCAGUGUUGGGUUCCCUGGGUUCCCCGUGAUGUUCAGCGUUGGGUUCCCUGUGACGUUCAGCGUUGGGUUCCCUGUGAUGUUCAGCGUUGGGUUCCCCGAGUUGUUCAGCGUUGGGUUCCCCGUGAUGUUCAGCAUUGAGUUCCUCAGGUUAUUCAGCGUUGGGUUCCCCAAGUUGUUCAGUGUUGGGUUCCCUGGGUUCCCCGUGAUGUUCAGUGUUGGGUUCCCCGUGAUGUUCAGUGUUGGGUUCCCCGUAAUGUUCAGCAUUGGGUUCCCUGCGAUGUUCAGCGCUGGGUUCCCCGUGAUGUUCAGCAUUGGGUUCCGCAGGUUGUUCAGCGUUGAAUUCCCCAAGUUGUUCAGUGUUGGGUUUCCUGGGUUCCCCGUGAUGUUCAGCGUUGGGUUCCCUGUGAUCUUCAUUGUUGGGUUCCAUGUGAUGUUCAGUGUUGGGUUCCCCUUGAUGUUCAGCGUUGGGUUCCCUGCGAUGUUCCGCGCUGGGUUCCCCGUGAUGUUCAGCAUUGGGUUCCCCAGGUUGUUCAGCGUUGGGUUCCCUGGGUUCCUUCCCCGUGAUGUUCAGCGUUAGGUUCCCCAGGUUGUUCAGCAUUGAAUUCCCCGAGUUGUUCAGUGUUGGGUUCCCUGGGUUCCCCGUGAUGUUCAGUAUUGGGUUCCCUGUGAUGUUCAGCGUUGGGUUCCCCGUGAUGUUCAGCGUUGGGUUCCCCGAGUUGUUUAGUGUUGGAUUCCCUGUGAUGUUCAGUGUUGGGUUCCCCGGGUUCCCCGUGAUGUUCAGUGUUGGGUUCCCCGAGUUGUUCAGUGUUGGGUUCCCCAAGAUGUUCAGCAUUGGGUUCCCCAAGAUGUUCAGUGUUGGGUUCCCCAUGAUAUUCAGUGUUGGGUUCCCUGGGUUCCCUGGGUUGUUCAGUGUUGGGUUCUUCGAGUGUUUUUGAAAUGGAGUUCCCCAAGGGCUCUUUGAGCAUUGGGUUCCUCGAGGGGUCUUUGAGGGUUGGGUUCCACGAUGCCUUUGAGGGUUGGGUUCCGCGACGUUUUUGAGUGCUGGGUUUCCCAAGGGGUCUUUGAGCGUUGGGUUCCCUGACAUUUUUGAGUGUUGUGUUCCCCGAGGGGUCUUUGAGUGUUGGGUUCCGUAGCAUCUUCGAGCAUUGGGUUCCCCAAGGGAUCUUUGAGGGUUGAGUUCCCCAAUGUUUUCGAGCAGUGCUUCCCCAAGGGGUCUUUGAAGGCUGGGUUUCCCGAAUGCCUUUGAGCAUUGGG
ensembl:lncRNA